AUCCUAAUGGCCCCAGGGGAAAAUGAGGGUCUCUUCUCAUUGACCAGAAUCGAAAGCUGAGGCCAGGGAGAAGCCAGAACCUGGCCAGGGCCACACAGCAGUGAGGCAGUGGAGGAGGCCUCCUGCUCCCCAGCUCUUGUCUCCUGAGCUCUGAGUGGCUGGGGCUGGGGCUUGGUUGCCAGGAAAGUGUGGGCAGAUGGCUAGAGAGAUCCUGGAGCCUCAGGGGAGCAAGUUCAACCUUGUGGGGAGCCCUGGACCCCAGGAAAGAGGCAACAGGGUUCACACCCCAGCCGGGCCACGUGACACAGGACAUAUCAUGAGCGUCUUGUUGUUCAUCGAGCACUCGGUAGAGGUGGCCCAUGGCAAGUCGUCCUGCAAGCUCUCCCAGAUGGGCUACCUCAGGAUCGCUGACCUGAUCUCCAGCUUCCUGCUCAUCACCAUGCUCUUCAUCAUCAGCCUGAGCCUACUGAUCGGCGUAGUCAAGAACCGGGAGAAGUACCUGCUGCCCUUCCUGUCCCUGCAAAUCAUGGACUAUCUCCUGUGCCUGCUCACCCUGCUGGGCUCCUACAUUGAGCUGCCCGCCUACCUCAAGUUGGCCUCCCGGAGCCGUGCUAGCUCCUCCAAGUUCCCCCUGAUGACGCUGCAGCUGCUGGACUUCUGCCUGAGCAUCCUGACCCUCUGCAGCUCCUACAUGGAAGUGCCCACCUAUCUCAACUUCAAGUCCAUGAACCACAUGAAUUACCUCCCCAGCCAGGAGGAUAUGCCUCAUAACCAGUUCAUCAAGAUGAUGAUCAUCUUUUCCAUCGCCUUCAUCACUGUCCUUAUCUUCAAGGUCUACAUGUUCAAAUGCGUGUGGCGGUGCUACAAAUUCAUCAAGUGCAUGAACUCGGUGGAGGAGAAGAGAAACUCCAAGAUGCUCCAGAAGGUGGUCCUGCCGUCCUAUGAGGAAGCCCU
rnacentral:sRNA from 1 species